UCCACUUAUACCCUUUCCUCUAAACUAAACACGCGGACACACAAACAAACUAGGGUUUCUCUCAUCCCUCAUUUGGUCCGCCGCUAUCAUCCUCUGCUCUCUCUCUCUAUGGCGAUUGCUAUAUCGCGCUCUCGGAUCUCGCCAGAUCUAUGAAGGGUUUGCCAUUUCAUCCAUCUCCCUGCUUCUCUCUCAAAGAAGAUCUAGGGUUUCUCUAGGCGGAGCCGAGCCACUGGCUCACUGCGAACUCGCCGGCGUUUGAUACUUCCAUGGAACCAAAUAGUCCGAGCCGUGUAGGCUGGUAUUGUGUUCUUACCCUUUUCUCUCUUUUCGUUUUUGUUGAACUGAUUUCGUUUUUGUACAGCUCAUAUCACCAAAUCCGGUUUCAGUGACACUCUUUUCGUUUUUGGGAGUGAAGAACAAGCAGAUCCGGUAUCCUGUAUGUUCGUAGACCUCAUAUCACCCCUGAUUUUGGUGCAGGUGGAAUAAUUUUUAUUAUUGAUUAAAGAUACUUUAGCAGACCAUCAAAGGUUCCCUUUUCUGAGUUUUUUUUUAUUACGAAUGCCACCAGAAGCACUCAAUCUUGUCUUCAUGUAGUGCUUAGCAAGCACUCCUUGCAAGUUGCAACUUCUUCAUUACCAGAGGUUUACAAAUGUCAAAAGCGGUCUUCUUCAUUACUGGAGGUUUACAAAGGUCAAAAGAGGUCAAAUUACAGGUGUAUAGACGACCAGGUGGCGACAAGGUGUAUGCUGUAUUUGAUAAUCAACUCCCUGCUGCUUUAAAAAGGUUACAGUUUUACAAGCAACUUUCAGUGGAGAAUGUGAGAAAAUUAAUUACUGUAUCUGAUGGAUAUCAACCUCAUUUAAUAGCACCUGAACAAGGUUGUCGUCGUCUUAUCGAAUCUACGUUGAUUACCAUCAAAUCUCCUGCCGAAGCGGUUGUUGAUGCGGUUGGUUCACGGUAUACUGAAGGAUUUGGUCCACAAGUCGAUUAAGGAGACCGCAGUGAGUCUGAAGGCCCUUAAUAUGGUUGGGAUCCGAAACCGAAGGCACUAUAUGGGCAGUUCAUCUUAUGAUUAUCUCUCGAGGGUCGGUCCAGAAACCCAUUAAGAGGUUGGUUAUAAGGACAAUUCAAGAACUCGCAAGUGUAGAUCUUGUGCUCAACUACUUGGUUUGCCGGAGGGGCUUUCCUCUUUCUAUCAGUCAACAACCCGAGAUUUGGUUUGACAUCUCCGACGUCAAAGUUGGGUUCCGGUUCAUGUUGAACUACUUCAACAUCAUACUCACCAGCAUCAUCAUUAACCGCAAACGAACCACUCCAUCCUAACGACAUAACCGGCGGACAUAGUUCAGGGUAAAGUUCUCUGGCCAACACCUAGCUUGUCACAUUUUGUUGGUUAGUUGCAAAAUAUAGAUAUAUAUAAAAGCUUUUUAUCAUGAAAACUUGGUACAGAAAUUGGUUAAUGGGGAGAGAAUUGUCAGUUGGAUAUGCGUAUAUUUCGCUAGCAAUGUGUAAGAUAACACUGCUUUUGUACGUUUUUGCCAAGAGCUUGCCCAAUGCAAAUUACUGCUUUUGUACGUUUUUGCCAAGAGCUUGCCCAAAUAGAAAGAAGGCUUUAUGGCCAUGGAAGGGUGUUAACGACCUUAAAAAAGGCCCUUUUUUGUCAUCUCGUGUUGAGUUCAUAAGAUGCAAUUGAUUAGGUUUUGUAAUCUUAUUUGAUGUUCACUAGCUUUGUAGAAAUUCAUGCCUAUGUGUGUGGUUCGAACAAAAUAUUUUCAUCAUAAGGUUUGGUAUUUGUUUUCA